GCACGUUGAAGAAGAAGGAAGAAGAGGCGUGCAUGGCUCCCCUUCUCCACCAUAAAGGCGUGCACCUUUAUUCGACGUGAUUUUUCCAUAUUCAGGUCGGAUCUACGUGCACGGCUCGUUCUGUGAUGGGUUCUAGUCGAAGCACGGCAGCGCGUGCUGGUUUCGACAACGGAACAUGUGGUGGUUGUGAUGCUCUGGUGGCAGUGCAUGGUGAACCAAGAACACACGUAUGGUGGCUUGUGGUGAUUCUGGUGACCGAAACUGCACUACGGUAAACUCGAUCCCCUUUUUGUAUUCUAAUUAUUUAUGCAAGUGUUUAUCAUUAACUCACAUAUUUUCUGUUUGUAAACGAUAGAAUUAUCUAAAUAAUACUGAAUUUAGAUUAGAGCGUAGACCCGAGCAAAUAAGGAUUCCGACACUUUCUGAUUCGACUAUAAGUAAGAGAUUGGGUUAGUCUCAUUCAAAUGCCCUCAUAUUUUUAUAAAACUUUAUUUUCUGUUAAAAUGAAUUAUUUAGAAACUUUAUAAAUUAUUUAAAUUUUCUAACGUGAUUUUCACAAAUUCAUCAUGUGUGUGCGCAAUUGCAUACAAUUGGAAAUCUAUAUGGUGUUGUGUAUUAUUUACGUUUAUGUAUGCAUAUUGUCACUAGUAUGUAUAUGCAGAUUUUGUAUAAUCUAGUUACUGAGUCAUAUGUGUGCAUGAUGCACGUGAAUAACUUGUAUGUGCAUGUUAUGGAAUACAUUUAUGUCUUGUAUAAAUAUACAAGUAAAUCUAUGUUGUAUGUGUUGUGUGUAUAUAUAUAUAUUUAUUUAUUUAAGCCGAUGACUGUGUAUAUAAGAUGUAUAUGUUAUGGUUAUUGUGUGAGCAUGUUUAUAUAUAAUACAUAUGAUGUAUAUGUAGGUGCAUGCAUAAGUAGGUCAUCUAGUAAUGAACCUGAUUAAUAAAAUAAUAACAUAAGAAUCUUUAAAAGAUUAGAAAAUUUGUUUAAUCAGUAUCACCGAUGGGUGGGUGUGUGUAUAUCCUUUUGGCGUGUGAUUGUGGUGAACCUUACCCAUGGAUUCGGUUUUAACCAGACGUGGCGAAGCAAUAAGAAUUGUGAAUAAUAUACUAUGUACUGCAAAUUAUGAACUGUAAACUGAAUUGUAACGUAUUCACAUGGUAGAGGGGAUCCUUACUGCCUUCGUUGAUACUGGUAAAAACGACAUCGCGUGAUGAAACUAUUUUUAAUAAGAUAUAAACUGAUAGGAAGGAAUAGAAAAUCAUGAGUAAAGUUUACGAUACUGAAAUACUAAAUUAAUAUAUAUUGAACUGCUUACUGCUUUAAUUAUAAUAUUGAAUACUGAAUUAUGUUAUUUAUGGAACUGUUUAUACCCUAAGUUAUAAUACUGAAAUAAAAAAAAUUUAAAUGUUUACUGAAUAAAUUGAUUUAGAAGAUUUGGUAAUUCAGUAUGUGCAUGUCUUUGUUAUGGGCACUGCCCAUUUUCCUUAUUGAGUUUGUGAAACUCAUCCCAAUUCACAUUCCCUCCCUCCCUCAGUGCAGAUUACUUUAGAUCAAGAGUAAAUUCAAGAUCAAAUGAAGACUUUGAAGAACCUUUAGUGAUAAUAAGAGUUCUUCUUAUAAAGUCAACUUAAUUUUAUUAUAGCGAUGUAAUAUAAAGAAUUUUGUAAGCUCCAUGACUUAUAAUUCC
rnacentral:lncRNA from 1 species